rnacentral:rRNA from 1 species
GAUGAACGCUGGCGGCGUGCCUCAAACAUGCAAGUCGAGCGGGGCUAUGUAAUAUCGCAAGGUAGAACAUAGCCUAGCGGCGAACGGGUGAGUAACACGUGGGUAACCCUGCCUGGAAGACAGGGAUAACGAUUCGAAAGGGUCGCUAAUACCUGAUAAUAUCCUUUCAUCGCAUGGUGAUAGGAAGAAAGGGGAAACCCGCUUUCAGAUGGGCCCGCGUCCCAUCAGCUAGUUGGUAAGGUAAAGGCUUACCAAGGCGACGACGGGUAGCCGGUCUGAGAGGAUGUACGGCCACACUGGGACUGAGAUACGGCCCAAACUCCUACGGGAGGCAGCAGUGGGGAAUAUUGGGCAAUGGACGAAAGUCUGACCCAGCAACGCCGCGUGAAGGAAGAAGGUUUUCGGAUCGUAAACUUCUAUCCUUGGUGAAAUAAUGAUGGUAGCCAAGAAGGAAGCCCCGGUAACUACGUGCCAGCAGCCGCGGUAAGAGUACUCUAU